rnacentral:misc_RNA from 1 species
UUAUGGUGAUAUUCAUUGCAUUGGUUAGAAUUGAUAUUCUAUUCUAGCAAUUUCAUCACAGUUGGUUUGUUGAAAAUUUUUAAGUUAAUUUCUGUUAUGUGCUCUGAGGAUACUUAGCAAUGCUUGCAAUAGCGUUAUUCUUGUUCUUAUUAUUUAAAAUUUCCUGCACGGCACAAACUUAGUUCAGUUUUCAUUCUUUUUGGUUUUUUGUUUAUUAUCCUAG